rnacentral:rRNA from 1 species
AACGCGAAGAACCUUACCUGGGCUCGAAGCGCAGUGGACCGGGGUGGAAACAUCCCUUUUCGCAAGAACUGCUGCGGAGGUGCUGCAUGGCUGUCGUCAGCUCGUGUCGUGAGAUGUUGGGUUAAGUCCCGCAACGAGCGCAACCCUUAUCUCUAGUUGCCAUCGGGUCAAGCCGGGCACUCUAGCGAAACCGCCUCGGAUAACGGGGAGGAAGGUGGGGAUGACGUCAAGUCCUCAUGGCCUUUAUGUCCAGGGCUACACACGUGCUACAAUGGCCGGUACAAACCGUCGCAAACCCGCGAGGGGGAGCUAAUCGGAAAAAGCCGGCCUCAGUUCGGAUUGGAGUCUGCAACUCGACUCCAUGAAGCUGGAAUCGCUAGUAAUCGCAGAUCAGAACGCUGCGGUGAAUACGUUCCCGGGCCUUGUA